GAUCAUGGCUCAGGACGAACGCUGGCGGCGUGCUUAACACAUGCAAGUCGAACGGGGCACCCUUGAAUGAGACUUCGGUCAAAGGAAAGGAAUGCUUAGUGGCGGACUGGUGAGUAACGCGUGAGGAACCUGCCUUUCAGGGGGGGACAACAGCUGGAAACGGCUGCUAAUACCGCAUGACGCAUUCGGAUGGCAUCAUCUGAAUGCCAAAGAUUUAUCGCUGAAAGAUGG
rnacentral:rRNA from 1 species